UGUGGGUCAGUAGAAAGAAAAUAGUUCCUACAUUAAACUGCUCACAUGCUAUCUUUAGUAACCGAGUGCCAUAUGGUUCCAUUAUAUUUGAGAGAAGGCAGACAUUUCUAUGGCCAAUACUGCCAAAGCUCAUCAACUCACACCAACACAAUCUAGAUGGAUGAAUAGCAGUACAGAGCUGAAUACUUCAACAGAAACCACCCUGAAAUAGAAACCAUAUGGACGCAUUUUUCCAUCAGUAUUUGAGAGGAUCAACAACUGUCUUGGUAAAUGGAGAGAGGAAGAAAGAGGAAGACUGAACUGACAAAUACAGGGGAUGGUGUUGAUGGAUGAACAUGGAUUAUGUCUCUUGGUGUAUAUAAGACAAAAGUUCACACAUAAACAGAACAGAUAACACUAAACCUUGACUAAAAUAUCCAAAAAUCCAAAAAUUGUACAUAUGAGAGGUGACGUCAUCGUUUUUGACAUGGUUGGUGAAGCGGUGAUUCGUAGAGGAACCCCUGACACUGGUGGCGGUGAUGAAGAGACGAAGAGGCUGCUGAAGAUCUGGAUUUGAUGAGGAGUGGACUUCUGAUGAGCUCAACCUGGGCACUGGAUAUGAAUGGGAUGGAGGAGGGCCGCAAUGAUUUUGCGCUGAUUUUUCUAUUCAAUUUGAAAAACCAAAAUAAAAUACUAUUUUGGUUUUUCUAAAUUGAAUACAAACCAGCCACACAGUGACAAUACAAAACCACUCACUGUACAUACCAGUCUCAAAAAUGAAUUACCACACAAUAAAAAUAAAUAAUAAGAAAUAAAUAAGAAAACUGUAACCACAAUAGAAUGGUAUUUUACAACACAGAGUGAGAUGAGAGAUUCUCCAUGCAGUUGAUGAAAGAUUGCAAUUUAGAAAAAAUUACCUUAUUCCUUAGUGAGUAAGUUAUCUCUUCCAGAGGUAUGAAAGGUCGCUUCUGGGAGCCACAGUCCAACUGGCAACGAGCAAUCUGACUUCCAUUUCAGUGCAAUACAUUAAACUGCAUUUUUUGGCAAUGGCCAGUAGGAUUUCUGUAAGCUUGAUUGAAUGAGUAUGUGUAAGAUUUAAAUUUGAGGUUUCCCAAAAAGGCAUAAGCUAUUUAACUUUUAAUCUAUAGAUAUAUAUAUAUAUAUAUAUAUAUAUAGAUAGUUAUAUAAUAUAUAUCUUUUUUCACUGAAAACCAUGAUCCUGGAUGUGUCAUUUCCUAAAACAUAACAUAAUGUAAGAUUUGGUAUUUGUUGCAAUUUGGCGCCCCCAGUUGUAAUACAAUUGUCGUAAACAUGGACAGCUGUAUACAUGCAUUUGUAAUGAUUACAUUAAUUAUAAUAAAAAACAAGAAAGUUAACAACUUUGCUGACACAGCCAAACAUCAAGCAAGUGCAGCAACACAAGACAUAACAAGCCAGGUUAUAUUACUUACUAGUCCAACAGCAAGGCCAGGUCGCUGUGUCUGCAGCCUUUUAUUUCACAAAGCUCUUGCCAAUGAGUAAAAAGGCAGUCCGACAUUUACUAUUGUCCGCCAGCUGAGCUCGGUUACGUUGCCUGCUCGUCAGCUCUGGUUCUGGCAUCAAGCUGUGGCAACUCUCCGUCAGCAUUUCCUCGCCCCAGACAUUUAAACUUCCUCCUCCCGGCGGUCCAAAUCUCCUGUACUACCACUGUAAACGCCAUCACUUUGCCAGUGCUCUGACUAAAGUUGUUAUUUUAAGGUAAACAGUUACAAAAUGUU